rnacentral:rRNA from 1 species
UACGGGGGGGGCAAGCGUUGUUCGGAAUUACUGGGCGUAAAGGGCGCGUAGGCGGUUCGAUAAGUCCCGUGUGAAAUCCCUCGGCUCAACUGAGGAACUGCACGGGAAACGUGACGGGCUUGAGUUCGGGAGAGGGAAGCGGAAUUCCGGGUGUAGCGGUGAAAUGCGUAGAUAUCCGGAGGAACACCGGUGGCGAAGGCGGCUUCCUGGACCGACACUGACGCUGAGGCGCGAAAGCUAGGGGAGCAAACGGG